rnacentral:rRNA from 1 species
GACGAACGCUGGCGGCGUGCUUAACACAUGCAAGUCGAACGGAAAGGCCUUUUCGGAGGUACUCGAGUGGCGAACGGGUGAGUAACACGUGGGUGAUCUGCCCUGCACUCUGGGAUAAGCCUGGGAAACUGGGUCUAAUACCAGAUAGGACCGCACUUUAGUGUGUGUGGUGGAAAGUUUUUUCGGUGUAGGAUGAGCCCGCGGCCUAUCAGCUUGUUGGUGGGGUAAUGGCCUACCAAGGCGGCGACGGGUAGCCGGACUGAGAGGUUGGUCGGCCACAUUGGGACUGAGAUACGGCCCAGACUCCUACGGGAGGCAGCAGUGGGGAAUAUUGCACAAUGGGCGCAAGCCUGAUGCAGCGACGCCGCGUGGGGGAUGACGGCCUUCGGGUUGGAAACUCCUUUCGCCAGGGACGAAGCGUUUUGUGACGGUACCUGGAGAAGAAGCACCGGCUAACUACGUG